GGGGCUUCGGCUCUCGCUAUUGGAUGGGCCGUGCGUGAGAUUAGCUAGUUGGUGAGGUAAUGGCUCACCAAGGCGACGAUCUCUAGCUGGUCUGAGAGGAUGAUCAGCCACACUGGGACUGAGACACGGCCCAGACUCCUACGGAGGCAGCAGUGGGGAAUAUUGCACAAUGGGCGCAAGCCUGAUGCAGCCAUGCCGCGUGUGUGAAGAAGGCUUUCGGGUUGUAAAGCACUUUCAGUGGGAGGAAGGCCUCGUAGUUAAUAGCUGCGAGGAUUGACGUUACCCACAGAAGAAGCACCGGCUAACUCCGUG
rnacentral:rRNA from 1 species